AUACAUUUCUCGUCCUUUUGGCUAAGAUAAAGUGUAAUAUUUGUUCUUAUCAGUUUAAAAUAUAAUAUGUGGACCACAUGUUCACUUUGAUAUUAAAUUUAUUUUUUAUGGAUAUCAAAUAUGAUUGUGUGCCGUCGCAGCGCACAGACAUU
rnacentral:snRNA from 1 species